UUAAGCGACUAAGCGUACACGGUGGAUGCCCUGGCAGUCAGAGGCGAUGAAGGACGUGCUAAUCUGCGAUAAGCGUCGGUAAGGUGAUAUGAACCGUUAUAACCGGCGAUUUCCGAAUGGGGAAACCCAGUGUGUUUCGACACACUAUCAUUAACUGAAUCCAUAGGUUAAUGAGGCGAACCGGGGGAACUGAAACAUCUAAGUACCCCGAGGAAAAGAAAUCAACCGAGAUUCCCCCAGUAGCGGCGAGCGAACGGGGAGCAGCCCAGAGCCUGAAUCAGUGUGUGUGUUAGUGGAAGCGUCUGGAAAGGCGCGCGAUACAGGGUGACAGCCCCGUACACAAAAAUGCACAUGCUGUGAGCUCGAUGAGUAGGGCGGGACACGUGGUAUCCUGUCUGAAUAUGGGGGGACCAUCCUCCAAGGCUAAAUACUCCUGACUGACCGAUAGUGAACCAGUACCGUGAGGGAAAGGCGAAAAGAACCCCGGCGAGGGGAGUGAAAAAGAACCUGAAACCGUGUACGUACAAGCAGUGGGAGCACGCUUAGGCGUGUGACUGCGUACCUUUUGUAUAAUGGGUCAGCGACUUAUAUUCUGUAGCAAGGUUAACCGAAUAGGGGAGCCGAAGGGAAACCGAGUCUUAACUGGGCGUUAAGUUGCAGGGUAUAGACCCGAAACCCGGUGAUCUAGCCAUGGGCAGGUUGAAGGUUGGGUAACACUAACUGGAGGACCGAACCGACUAAUGUUGAAAAAUUAGCGGAUGACUUGUGGCUGGGGGUGAAAGGCCAAUCAAACCGGGAGAUAGCUGGUUCUCCCCGAAAGCUAUUUAGGUAGCGCCUCGUGAAUUCAUCUCCGGGGGUAGAGCACUGUUUCGGCAAGGGGGUCAUCCCGACUUACCAACCCGAUGCAAACUGCGAAUACCGGAGAAUGUUAUCACGGGAGACACACGGCGGGUGCUAACGUCCGUCGUGAAGAGGGAAACAACCCAGACCGCCAGCUAAGGUCCCAAAGUCAUGGUUAAGUGGGAAACGAUGUGGGAAGGCCCAGACAGCCAGGAUGUUGGCUUAGAAGCAGCCAUCAUUUAAAGAAAGCGUAAUAGCUCACUGGUCGAGUCGGCCUGCGCGGAAGAUGUAACGGGGCUAAACCAUGCACCGAAGCUGCGGCAGCGACACUAUGUGUUGUUGGGUAGGGGAGCGUUCUGUAAGCCUGUGAAGGUGUACUGUGAGGUAUGCUGGAGGUAUCAGAAGUGCGAAUGCUGACAUAAGUAACGAUAAAGCGGGUGAAAAGCCCGCUCGCCGGAAGACCAAGGGUUCCUGUCCAACGUUAAUCGGGGCAGGGUGAGUCGACCCCUAAGGCGAGGCCGAAAGGCGUAGUCGAUGGGAAACAGGUUAAUAUUCCUGUACUUGGUGUUACUGCGAAGGGGGGACGGAGAAGGCUAUGUUGGCCGGGCGACGGUUGUCCCGGUUUAAGCGUGUAGGCUGGUUUUCCAGGCAAAUCCGGAAAAUCAAGGCUGAGGCGUGAUGACGAGGCACUACGGUGCUGAAGCAACAAAUGCCCUGCUUCCAGGAAAAGCCUCUAAGCAUCAGGUAACAUCAAAUCGUACCCCAAACCGACACAGGUGGUCAGGUAGAGAAUACCAAGGCGCUUGAGAGAACUCGGGUGAAGGAACUAGGCAAAAUGGUGCCGUAACUUCGGGAGAAGGCACGCUGAUAUGUAGGUGAAGCGACUUGCUCGUGGAGCUGAAAUCAGUCGAAGAUACCAGCUGGCUGCAACUGUUUAUUAAAAACACAGCACUGUGCAAACACGAAAGUGGACGUAUACGGUGUGACGCCUGCCCGGUGCCGGAAGGUUAAUUGAUGGGGUUAGCGCAAGCGAAGCUCUUGAUCGAAGCCCCGGUAAACGGCGGCCGUAACUAUAACGGUCCUAAGGUAGCGAAAUUCCUUGUCGGGUAAGUUCCGACCUGCACGAAUGGCGUAAUGAUGGCCAGGCUGUCUCCACCCGAGACUCAGUGAAAUUGAACUCGCUGUGAAGAUGCAGUGUACCCGCGGCAAGACGGAAAGACCCCGUGAACCUUUACUAUAGCUUGACACUGAACAUUGAGCCUUGAUGUGUAGGAUAGGUGGGAGGCUUUGAAGUGUGGACGCCAGUCUGCAUGGAGCCGACCUUGAAAUACCACCCUUUAAUGUUUGAUGUUCUAACGUUGACCCGUAAUCCGGGUUGCGGACAGUGUCUGGUGGGUAGUUUGACUGGGGCGGUCUCCUCCUAAAGAGUAACGGAGGAGCACGAAGGUUGGCUAAUCCUGGUCGGACAUCAGGAGGUUAGUGCAAUGGCAUAAGCCAGCUUGACUGCGAGCGUGACGGCGCGAGCAGGUGCGAAAGCAGGUCAUAGUGAUCCGGUGGUUCUGAAUGGAAGGGCCAUCGCUCAACGGAUAAAAGGUACUCCGGGGAUAACAGGCUGAUACCGCCCAAGAGUUCAUAUCGACGGCGGUGUUUGGCACCUCGAUGUCGGCUCAUCACAUCCUGGGGCUGAAGUAGGUCCCAAGGGUAUGGCUGUUCGCCAUUUAAAGUGGUACGCGAGCUGGGUUUAGAACGUCGUGAGACAGUUCGGUCCCUAUCUGCCGUGGGCGCUGGAGAACUGAGGGGGGCUGCUCCUAGUACGAGAGGACCGGAGUGGACGCAUCACUGGUGUUCGGGUUGUCAUGCCAAUGGCACUGCCCGGUAGCUAAAUGCGGAAGAGAUAAGUGCUGAAAGCAUCUAAGCACGAAACUUGCCCCGAGAUGAGUUCUCCCUGACUCCUUGAGAGUCCUGAAGGAACGUUGAAGACGACGACGUUGAUAGGCCGGGUGUGUAAGCGCAGCGAUGCGUUGAGCUAACCGGUACUAAUGAACCGUGAGGCUUAACCUU
rnacentral:rRNA from 1 species